rnacentral:rRNA from 1 species
AACGAACGCUGGCGGCAGGCUUAACACAUGCAAGUCGAGCGCCCCGCAAGGGGAGCGGCAGACGGGUGAGUAACGCGUGGGAACGUACCCUUUGCUACGGAAUAGCUCCGGGAAACUGGAAUUAAUACCGUAUGUGCCCUACGGGGGAAAGAUUUAUCGGCAAAGGAUCGGCCCGCGUUGGGUUAGCUAGUUGGUGGGGUAAUGGCCUACCAAGGCGACGAUCCAUAGCUGGUCUGAGAGGAUGAUCAGCCACAUUGGGACUGAGACACGGCCCAAACUCCUACGGGAGGCAGCAGUGGGGAAUAUUGGACAAUGGGCGCAAGCCCGAUCCAGCCAUGCCGCGUGAGUGAUGAAGGCCUUAGGGUUGUAAAGCUCUUUCACCGGAGAAGAUAAUGACGGUAUCCGGAGAAGAAGCCCCGGCUAACUUCGUGCCAGCAGCCGCGGUAACAC